rnacentral:rRNA from 1 species
UACGUAGGGUGCAAGCGUUAAUCGGAAUUACUGGGCGUAAAGCGUGCGCAGGCGGUCUUGCAAGACAGAUGUGAAAUCCCCGGGCUCAACCGUGGGAACUUGACAUUUGUGACUGCAAGGCUGGAGUACGGUAGAGGGGGAUGGAAUUCCGCGUGUAGCAGUGAAAUGCGUAGAUAUGCGGAGGACACCGAUGGCGAAGGCAAUCCCCUGGACCUGUACUGACGCUCAUGCACGAAAGCGUGGGGAGCAAACAGG